UGGGGAAUAUUGCACAAUGGGCGCAAGCCUGAUGCAGCCAUGCCGCGUGUGUGAAGAAGGCCUUCGGGUUGUAAAGCACUUUCAGCGGGGAGGAAGGCGAUAAGGUUAAUAACCUUGUCGAUUGACGUUACCCGCAGAAGAAGCACCGGCUAACUCCGUGCCCGCAGCCGCGGGAAUACGGAGGGUGCAAGCGGUAAUCGGAAUUACUGGGCGUAAAGCGCACGCAGGCGGUCUGUCAAGUCGGAUGUGAAAUCCCCGGGCUCAACCUGGGAACUGCAUUCGAAACUGGCAGGGUAGAGUCUUGUAGAGGGGGGUAGAAUUCCAGGUGGAGCGGUGAAAUGCGUAGAGAUCUGGAGGAAUACCGGUGGCGAAGGCGGCCCCCUGGACAAAAACUGACGCUCAGGUGCGAAAGCGGGGGGAGCAAACAGG
rnacentral:rRNA from 1 species